UUUUUCUUUUCUUUCUUUCUCUCCCUCUCUCCUCACAUGCACGCACUUCUCUCCCUCCCACUUCUUCUCUCUCUUCCUUUUCUCCUCCUUUUUCUCUUUUCCCCUUUUCUCUCCCUCUGUUUCACGGCAGCAGCAGCAGCCCUCUUCCCCUUUUAUUUUAUUUCUUCUUCUUUCCUCUUUUUCCCCUCUCUUCAUACCCGAUCUCUCCCCCUCACCCACACGAUCUUCUUCUCUUCUCCUCCCUUCUUUCUCUCCUUCGAUCACGCCCAACCAGCAGCAAGCAGCCGACUCCUUCUCUUUCCCUUUCCUCUCCUUCUUUUGCUUCUCGUCUCUCCCUUCGUCUCCGAUCACACAUGGCCGUGAGAGCUCGAGACAUCAAGGGACCGUGAGAGCUGAGUUGUGAGAACCCAAACGUGCGGAAGUCGGAUUCUUGGCAGUUGGAGGUGCGAUUUUGGACUAGCGGUGGUUGGGCCACCAUCGUGGUGUGCGGACAGCUGCUGGACCGUGUAUUCCAGCCAAGUUCCGGAUCAUAUUCGGAUUGGAGACUUUAAUUGGUUCUCCAAUGUAGAGUCCAAAUGACUAGAGUCCAAGGAGUGUUCGAGUUGGAGUCCAAUGCAGCCAAGAUGAUGUUUCUUUGGCUGCAGGUACUUCGGUAUAGUCGAUGGGUCGAUAGCAGUGUGCUUGGGAUAUUAUGACUGAAGCUCGCCGCGACAGUUGUAAUGGUCGGACCACGGGUUGUCCACUAUUUUAUAGGUUUGGUAUGGCUUGUGACGUUUGUGUCACUUAUUCUUUGUUAAGCCAUUAUUGUUGUAGUCUUAAUAAGACUCAAACAGAUAGAUAUUAAAUGGCUCUUUGUUGUAAUUAACUUGUGAUAGAUGUAUAAGUUGUAAUUUCCGCUAUUCAGAUUUAUGUUUUCCGCUGCAUA